rnacentral:lncRNA from 1 species
CCGGAUUUGAUGCGGAAAAAGGCGGAGGAAGAAAUAAAAAGGUCGUAGGUCAGUUUCUAGCUGCCGAGGGCCUGGAGCUUGACACAGAUGAUGUUGAGGCUAUCUGAAAAUGUUCAUAGAGAUCCUGUUCAUCACUCGGCAAUUGGAAACAGCUACUUGAAGGAUCCAGCCGAUACUCUUCUACGAUCAUGCAAUACAAUAUGUGCAAGUGUUGGAUAUUCAAUUAACAGGAAAGGAAAAGAAAGGUAGGAAGAUCAUUUCAAUGAUUCUUAUUUAUUUGGUUGGAAAUUGAUGGAAAUCAGUUUGUGGCUUCCACUUUUAUAAGCACAAUUACAGAUUUUUUGUUGGGGUUCCAGUACUGGGGAGAAGUGUAGGAAGCGAUAAGAGGAAGGAAAAGAGAAUAAAGGAGACUUGACUUGCGUGAUUCUUCUGGGCAAUCCACUGUCUUAUAAAGCAAUUCCAGUACUCUAUAUUUCCUGCGAACGUUAUGAAUUGCGGGGGCGCUGUUUUUUUGGGUUUUUUUUUUUGCUUUUCCAUGGACUGCCCCUUGUUUUCGACAACCUUGCAAACGAGAAUGCAUUUCCCAACUACCAAACUCCCCCUCCCUCUCAUGUGAAAUGCGAGUUGAAUCCUUGGAGACCGGCCCUCGAAAGU